UUUGGUUCCGUCGGUAGGUUAUGGUUUACAAAGUGCUUUGCCAACACAACCUCACUGAAGGAACAACCCUGCAGAUACAGAGGAAGGUCCUUCUCAUCUCCAAGGACACAUGCAACAAAGCCCAGAUGGAAGGGGCCGCCAAUGCCCACAGCUUCUUGGUGGAUGAGGGCACAGCGGCCUCUGCAGUCUACUCUCACUCCAGCUCUCCAGGGACCUCACAGCUGCUGGCCAAGGAACAGGACUGGUAAGGAAGCCAAGAUACCAGAGGGAUGCCCAAGAUCACACACAGAUACGUGACGGAACUGGGAUUCAAAACCAAGUGGCCUUGACUCUAACACCUGACACCAAAUUCCUGAGCAAACUGCCUUCUCAAAAACAGGUUGGCAUCCCAGGCAGUGAAGGAGGAAAUGAAGCCAAACUCAGGGUCAGUGGCCGGGAGCAGUUCUCUGGACCUCCCACAAGCCUGCAAAAGAUGAUAUUAU